rnacentral:rRNA from 1 species
AUGCUCAUCAUUAUGAAGAACAUGGGUUUUAACGAUAAAUGGUUAGGCUGGAUUCAAUGUAUCUUUUCUUCGGGCAAGUCAACGGUUCUCCUAAACGGUGUCCCUGGCAGACAAUUUCAUUGCAAAUGCGGUGUGAGACAAGGUGACCCUCUGUCCCCACUAAUUUUUGUACUUGCCGCUGACCUCCUUCAAGCUGCAAUCAAUGAUGCUUUUACCGGGGGGGAAAUCAGUUUGCCCUUUCCUUGCAAUACACAACGAGAAUACCCGGUGAUUCAAUACGCGGAUGAUACUAUUCUAGCUAUGCCUGCAUGUCCUGCACAAGCCAUGACCAUCAAAACUAUCCUCUCCGACUAUGCCACAUCGGUAGGUUUAAAGAUCAAUUUCCAUAAAUCUACUAUCAUACCCCUCAACUGUGGGCAGGAGGUCACAAACACAUUGGCAAAUAUUUUUGGCUGUGUUAUUGGCAAGCUACCAUUUACCUAUCUUGGCCUACCCAUGGGCACCACCAAACCAACUAUUUUGGACCUCAUGCCUCUGUUCUGUCGUGUGGAGAGACGACUUUCGGCCACCCUCAACAUGAUUACAUAUGGAGGAAAACUCACAUUGUUGAAUUCAGUUAUAACUUCUCUCAUCAUCUUUGCUCUUUGCACACUCAAACUCCCAGCAGGCAUCAUAGAACUUAUUGACAAAAUCCGCAGAAAGUGCCUCUGGACAAAGAAAACUGAUCAAGGUGAUAAGUGCAACUCCUUGGCAUCAUGG